rnacentral:rRNA from 1 species
AUGAGAACGAGGAAAUGGACUGGGAAUCCUACAUGCUCUUUCUGUAACGAGUUGGAAACCUCCCAACAUCUGUUUUUUACUUGCCCUGUGGCUAAAGUGGUCUGGAGAUGCGUUGGGGUAGUACUGGGUACUGAGAUGUGUCCGAAUAGCUACUGGCAAUAUUUUGCAUGGUGCCAUGCUUUUCUCCCUGAUGGACAAAAGUACUAUACUGUGGGCUUGGCUGCUGCUUGCUGGGCCAUUUGGCUAGCUCGAAACCGAGCUACGUUCGAAAAGAAACUUAUCAAAACGCCUUUUGAGAUAGUUUUUUCCAUGUGUUCUUUCCUGCUGUACUGGACAGGGCUGCAGGAGGAGGAGGGCGCCAAGGAGCUGCGAAGCGGUGCUGAGAUGAUCAGGUCGAGCACGAUGCGCAUGAUGGGAAUGUGCAACGCGGUGAGGGUGCCGAUCGAGGGAGAUUGA